CACGUAGGCGGAUCAGUUAGUCGGGGUGAAAUCCCGGGGCUCAACCCCGGAACUGCCUUCGAUACUGCUGGUCUGGAGGUCGAGAGAGGUGAGUGGAAUUCCGAGUGUAGAGGUGAAAUUCGUAGAUAUUCGGAGGAACACCAGUGGCGAAGGCGGCUCACUGGCUCGAUACUGACGCUGAGGUGCGAAAGCGUGGGGAGCAAACA
rnacentral:rRNA from 1 species